rnacentral:tRNA from 1 species
GGGCCCGUCGUCUAGCCUGGUUAGGACGCCGCCCUCACGCGGCGGAGGUCCGGGGUUCGAGUCCCCGCGGGCCCACCA